rnacentral:rRNA from 1 species
GACGAACGCUGGCGGCGUGCCUAAUACAUGCAAGUAGGACGCAGUUGCGAACGGGUGAGUAACGCGUAGGUAACUACCUAUUAGAGGGGGAUAACUAUUGGAAACGAUAGCUAAUACCGCAUACUAGUAGAUGGAACUGCGUUGUAUUUGCUAGUAGGUAGGGUAAUGGCCUACCUAGGCAACGAUACAUAGCCGACCUGGGAGGGUGAUCGGCCACACUGGGAAUGAGGCACGGCCCAGACGUCUACGGGAGGGCACAGUAGGGAAUCUUCGGCCAUGGGGGGAACGCUGGACGAGCAACGCCCGGUGGGUGGAGAAGGUUUUCGGAUCGUAAAGCUCUGUUGUUAAGGAAGCGGUACUUAACCAGAAAGGGACGGCUAACUACGUGCCAGCAGCCGCGGUAAUAC